UUUAGCAUGGAAUAAUGGAAUAGGACGUGUGGUUCUAUUUUGUUGGUUAUGGGACCGCCGUAAUGAUUAAUAGGGACAGUCGGGGGCAUCAGUAUUCAAUUGUCAGAGGUGAAAUUCUUGGAUUUAUUGAAGACUAACUACUGCGAAAGCAUUUGCCAAGGAUGUUUUCAUUAAUCAGGAACGAAAGUUAGGGGAUCGAAGACGGUCAGAUACCGUCGUAGUCUUAACCAUAAACUAUGCCGACUAGGGAUCGGACGAUGUUACUUUUUGACUCGUUCGGCACCUUACGAGAAAUCAAAGUCUGUGGGUUCCUGGGGAAGUAUGGUGGCAACGCUGAAACUUAAAGAAAUUGACGGAAGGGCACCACCAGGGGUGGAGCCUGCGGCUUAAUUUGACUCAACACGGGGAAACUCACCAGGUCCAGACACAAUGAGGAUUGACAGAUUGAGAGCUCUUUCUUGAUUUUGUGGGUGGUGGUGCAUGGCCGUUCUUAGUUGGUGGAGUGAUUUGUCUGCUUAAUUGCGAUAACGAACGAGACCUUAACCUGCUAAAUAGCCCGUGUUGCUUUUGCAGCACGCCGGCUUCUUAGAGGGACUAUCGGCUCAAGCCGAUGGAAGUUUGAGGCAAUAACAGGUCUGUGAUGCCCUUAGAUGUUCUGGGCCGCACGCGCGCGACACUGACAGGGCCAGCGAGUACUCCCUUGUCCGAAAGGACCGGGUAAUCUUGUUAAACCCUGUCGUGCUGGGGAUAGAGCAUUGCAAUA
rnacentral:rRNA from 1 species